rnacentral:rRNA from 1 species
AUUGAACGCUGGCGGCAGGCCUAACACAUGCAAGUCGAGCGAGCGGCGGACGGGUGAGUAAUGUCUGGGAAUCUGCCUGAUGGAGGGGGAUAACUACUGGAAACGGUAGCUAAUACCGCAUACCAUCGGAUGUACCCAGAUGGGAUUAGCUAGUAGGUGGGGUAAAGGCUCACCUAGGCGACGAUCCCUAGCUGGUCUGAGAGGAUGACCAGCCACACUGGAACGGAGACACGGUCCAGACUCCUACGGGAGGCAGCAGUGGGGAAUAUUGCACAAUGGGCGCAAGCCUGAUGCAGCCAUGCCGCGUGUGUGAAGAAGGCCUUCGGGUUGUAAAGCACUUUCAGCGAGGAGGCGUUACUCGCAGAAGAAGCACCGGCUAACUCCGUGCCAGCAGCCGCGGUAAUAC